rnacentral:rRNA from 1 species
GACGAACGCUGGCGGCGUGCUUAACACAUGCAAGUCGAUCGGUAACAGGUGUAGCAAUACAUGCUGACGAGAGGCGGACGGGUGAGUAAUGCUUGGGAAUCUGCCUAUUAGUGGGGGACAACCCGGGGAAACUCGAGCUAAUACCGCAUACGCUCUACGGAGGAAAGCCGGGGACCGCAAGGCCUGGCGCUAAUAGAUGAGCCCAAGUCGGAUUAGCUAGUUGGUAGGGAACGGCCUACCAAGGCGACAAUCCGUAGCUGGUCUGAGAGGACGACCAGCCACACCGGAACUGAGACACGGUCCGGACUCCUACGGGAGGCAGCAGUGGGGAAUAUUGGACAAUGGGGGCAACCCUGAUCCAGCGACGCCGCGUGGGUGAAGAAGGCCUGCGGGUUUGUAAAGCCCUUUCGGUGGGGAAGAAAAGUCUCGACCUAAUACGUCGGGACCUUGACGUAACCA